rnacentral:rRNA from 1 species
GAUGAACGCUGGCGGCGUGCCUAAUACAUGCAAGUCGAGCGAACAGACGAGGAGCUUGCUCCUCUGACGUUAGCGGCGGACGGGUGAGUAACACGUGGAUAACCUACCUAUAAGACUGGGAUAACUUCGGGAAACCGGAGCUAAUACCGGAUAAUAUAUUGAACCGCAUGGUUCAAUAGUGAAAUACGGUUUUGCUGUCUCUUCUAGAUGGAUCCGCGCCGCAUUAGCUAGUUGGUAAGGUAACGGCUUACCAAGGCAACGAUGCGUAGCCGACCUGAGAGGGUGAUCGGCCACACUGGAACUGAGACACGGUCCAGACUCCUACGGGAGGCAGCAGUAGGGAAUGUUCCGCAAUGGGCGAAAGCCUGACGGAGCAACGCCGCGUGAGUGAUGAAGGUCUUCGGAUCGUAAAACUCUGUUAUUAGGGAAGAACAAAUGUGUAAGUAACUAUGCACGUCUUGACGGUACCUAAUCAGAAAGCCACGGCUAACUACGUG